AUCAGGGUUGACAGUUUAACCUUGAGUCGUCCUAAACACAGGAGUCAAAAGGAUGAAUUAUACAGUAACCAUAUUCAUGUAGGUUCUGAGUGUUGCGAUUGUGACUCUUCGACCUAUCCGGAUGUCGGGUACCAUUGCUAGAUGGUCACUUCGAUUAGUACAGAAAUUGGUUCCUGUGCUACCGGUUUAGGUUCGAACCUGCGGGGUCACACACAUUAGAGAUUCCUAUCUGAUCUGAUGGCUAGUGUAGAAUCCUACAUGUUUGAGACUCAGUGAUCGAGAAUCAAGAUUCUCUGAUCAUGAGUUCCACACAUUAUGGGUACCGGGGUCAAGAGUCCCACUGGUUGGGACUUUUCGAUCAGUGUUACAUAUCGAUGAAUUCUGAUGCCCGAUUGCCCAUCGAAUUUAGACUCAGUAUUUAUGAGAGGUUUAAUUAGUGAUUUGAUCAUUAAUUAACUCAAUUUUAU
rnacentral:lncRNA from 1 species